rnacentral:rRNA from 1 species
UACGUAGGGUGCGAGCGUUAAUCGGAAUUACUGGGCGUAAAGGGUCCGCAGGUUGUUUUGUAAGUCAGAUGUGAAAGCCCCGGGCUUAACCUGGGAACUGCGUCUGAAACUACAAGGCUAGAGUAUGGCAGAGGGGGGUGGAAUUCCGCGUGUAGCAGUGAAAUGCGUAGAUAUGUGGAGGAACACCGAUGGCGAAGGCAGCCCCCUGGGUCAAUACUGACGCUGAGGGACGAAAGCAUGGGGAGCAAAC